CUUAACACAUGCAAGUCGAGGGGCAGCAUUUUAGUUUGCUUGCAAACUGAAGAUGGCGACCGGCGCACGGGUGAGUAACACGUAUCCAACCUGCCGAUAACUCCGGGAUAGCCUUUCGAAAGAAAGAUUAAUACCGGAUAGCAUACGAAUAUCGCAUGAUAUUUUUAUUAAAGAAUUUCGGUUAUCGAUGGGGAUGCGUUCCAUUAGUUUGUUGGCGGGGUAACGGCCCACCAAGACUACGAUGGAUAGGGGUUCUGAGAGGAAGGUCCCCCACAUUGGAACUGAGACACGGUCCAAACUCCUACGGGAGGCAGCAGUGAGGAAUAUUGGUCAAUGGGCGCGAGCCUGAACCAGCCAAGUAGCGUGAAGGAUGAAGGCUCUAUGGGUCGUAAACUUCUUUUAUAUGGGAAUAAAGUUUUCCACGUGUGGAAUUUUGUAUGUACCAUAUGAAUAAGGAUCGGCUAACUCCGUGCCAGCAGCCGCGGUAAUACGGAGGAUCCGAGCGUUAUCCGGAUUUAUUGGGUUUAAAGGGAGCGUAGGUGGAUUGUUAAGUCAGUUGUGAAAGUUUGCGGCUCAACCGUAAAAUUGCAGUUGAAACUGGCAGUCUUGAGUACAGUAGAGGUGGGCGGAAUUCGUGGUGUAGCGGUGAAAUGCUUAGAUAUCACGAAGAACUCCGAUUGCGAAGGCAGCUCACUAGACUGUCACUGACACUGAUGCUCGAAAGUGUGGGUAUCAAACAGGAUUAGAUACCCUGGUAGUCCACACAGUAAACGAUGAAUACUCGCUGUUUGCGAUAUACAGUAAGCGGCCAAGCGAAAGCAUUAAGUAUUCCACCUGGGGAGUACGCCGGCAACGGUGAAACUCAAAGGAAUUGACGGGGGCCCGCACAAGCGGAGGAACAUGUGGUUUAAUUCGAUGAUACGCGAGGAACCUUACCCGGGCUUAAAUUGCAACAGAAUAUAUUGGAAACAGUAUAGCCGUAAGGCUGUUGUGAAGGUGCUGCAUGGUUGUCGUCAGCUCGUGCCGUGAGGUGUCGGCUUAAGUGCCAUAACGAGCGCAACCCUUAUCUUUAGUUACUAACAGGUCAUGCUGAGGACUCUAGAGAGACUGCCGUCGUAAGAUGUGAGGAAGGUGGGGAUGACGUCAAAUCAGCACGGCCCUUACGUCCGGGGCUACACACGUGUUACAAUGGGGGGUACAGAAGGCGGCUACCUGGUGACAGGAUGCUAAUCCCAAAAACCUCUCUCAGUUCGGAUCGAAGUCUGCAACCCGACUUCGUGAAGCUGGAUUCGCUAGUAAUCGCGCAUCAGCCAUGGCGCGGUGAAUACGUUCCCGGGCCUUGUACACACCGCCCGUCAAGCCAUGAAAGCCGGGGGUACCUGAAGUACGUAACCGCAAGGAGCGUCCUAGGGUAAAACUGGUAAUUGGGGC
rnacentral:rRNA from 1 species